CCCUUAGAUGUCCGGGGCCGCACGCGCGCUACACUGAAGGAAUCAGCGUGGCUUUCUCCCUGACCCGAAAGUGUUGGGAAACCCGUUGAAUCUCCUUCGUGAUAGGGAUUGGGGCUUGAAAUUGUUCCCCAUGAACGAGGAAUUCCCAGUAAGCGCGAGUCAUAAGCUCGCGUUGAUUACGUCCCUGCCCUUUGUACACACCGCCCGUCGCUACUACCGAUUGAACGGUUUAGUGAGGGCCUCGGAUUGGUCUCGGCCCGCUCUUUACCGGGCGGCGCCGUUGGUCGAGAAGACGCUCGAACUUGAUCGUUUAGAGGAAGUAAAAGUCGUAACA
rnacentral:rRNA from 1 species